rnacentral:rRNA from 1 species
AACGAACGCUGGCGGCAUGCCUAACACAUGCAAGUCGAACGAGACCUUCGGGUCUAGUGGCGCACGGGUGCGUAACGCGUGGGAACCUGCCCUUAGGUUCGGAAUAACUCCCCGAAAGGGGUGCUCAUACCGGAUAAUGUCUUCGGACCAAAGAUUUAUCGCUUUUGGCUGGGCCCGCGUUGGUUUGGCUGGUUGGUAGGGUAAAAGCCUACCAUUGCGACGAUGCAUAGCUGGUCGGAUAGGAGGCCCCGCCACGCUUGGACUGCGGCCCGGCCCAGUCUCCUACGCGGGGCAGCAGUGUAGAAUAUUGGACGCGGGGCGAUGACCUAGCACCGCCGUGCCGCGUAUGUGAGGAAGCCCUUAGUAUUGUACAUCCCUCUGUGCCGAGAUGAUAAUGACGGUACCGGGUGAAGAAGCACCGGCUAACUCCGUG